rnacentral:rRNA from 1 species
GACGAACGCUGGCGGCGUGCUUAACACAUGCAAGUCGAGCGGUAAGGCCCCUUCGGGGGUACGACGAGCGGCGAACGGGUGAGUAACACGUGGGUGACCUGCCCUCAGCUCUGGGAGUAAGCCUGGGAAGCCGGGUCGUAAUACUGGAUAUGACUCCAUGACGCAUGUUGUGGGGUGGAAAGCCUUGUGCGGCUGAGGAUGGGCCCGCGGCCUAUCAGCUUGUUGGUGGGGUGAUGGCCUACCAAGGCGACGACGGGUAGCCGG